CCCCAGACUCCUACGGGAGGCAGCAGUGGGGAAUAUUGCACAAUGGGGGAAACCCUGAUGCAGCGACGCCGCGUGGGCGAUGAAGUAUUUCGGUAUGUAAAGCUCUAUCAGCAGGGAAGAAGAUGACGGUACCUGACUAAGAAGCCCCGGCUAACUACGUGCCAGCAGCCGCGGUAAUACGUAGGGGGCAAGCGUUAUCCGGAUUUACUGGGUGUAAAGGGAGCGUAGACGGCGAUGCAAGCCAGAUGUGAAAGCCCGGGGCUCAACCCCGGGACUGCAUUUGGAACUGUGUGGCUGGAGUGUCGGAGAGGCAGGCGGAAUUCCUAGUGUAGCGGUGAAAUGCGUAGAUAUUAGGAGGAACACCAGUGGCGAAGGCGGCCUGCUGGACGAUGACUGACGUUGAGGCUCGAAAGCGUGGGGAGCAAACAGGAUUAGAUACCCCCGUAAC
rnacentral:rRNA from 1 species